rnacentral:rRNA from 1 species
GACGAACGCUGGCGGCGUGCUUAACACAUGCAAGUCGAACGGAAAGGCCCUGCUUUUGUGGGGUGCUCGAGUGGCGAACGGGUGAGUAACACGUGAGUAACCUGCCCUUGACUUUGGGAUAACUUCAGGAAACUGGGGCUAAUACCGGAUAGGAGCUCCUGCCGCAUGGUGGGGGUUGGAAAGUUUCGGCGGUUGGGGAUGGACUCGCGGCUUAUCAGCUUGUUGGUGGGGUAGUGGCUUACCAAGGCUUUGACGGGUAGCCGGCCUGAGAGGGUGACCGGCCACAUUGGGACUGAGAUACGGCCCAGACUCCUACGGGAGGCAGCAGUGGGGAAUAUUGCACAAUGGGCGGAAGCCUGAUGCAGCAACGCCGCGUGCGGGAUGACGGCCUUCGGGUUGUAAACCGCUUUCGCCUGUGACGAAGCGUGAGUGACGGUAAUGGGUAAAGAAGCACCGGCUAACUACGAG